UACGUAGGGUGCGAGCGUUAAUCGGAAUUACUGGGCGUAAAGCGUGCGCAGGCGGUUUUGUAAGCCAGAUGUGAAAUCCCCGGGCUUAACCUGGGAAUGGCAUUUGGGACUGCAAGGCUUGAGUGCGGCAGAGGAGACUGGAAUUCCUGGUGUAGCAGUGAAAUGCGUAGAUAUCAGGAGGAACACCGAUGGCGAAGGCAGGUCUCUGGGCUGACACUGACGCUCAUGCACGAAAGGCGUGGGGAGCAAACGAGG
rnacentral:rRNA from 1 species